rnacentral:tRNA from 1 species
CAAGGGAUAGUUUAGAUUAAAAUAUUAAUUUUGGGAAUUAAUGAUAAGAAUUUCUUUCCUUUGA